rnacentral:rRNA from 1 species
CGGUGGAGCAUGUGGUUUAAUUACGAAGCAACGACGAAGAACCUUACCAGGCCUUGACAUGCAGAGAACUUUCCAGAGAUGGAUUGGUGCCUUCGGGAACUCUGACACAGGUGCUGCAUGGCUGUCGUCAGCUCGUGUCGUGAGAUGUUGGGUUAAGUCCCGUAACGAGCGCAACCCUUGUCCUUAGUUACCAGCACGUUAUGGUGGGCACUCUAAGGAGACUGCCGGUGACAAACCGGAGGAAGGUGGGGAUGACGUCAGGUCCUCAUGGCCUUUAUGACCAGGGCUACACACGUACUACAAUGGCCGAUACAAAGGGCAGCGACACUGCGAGGUGAAGCCAAUCCCGUAAAAUCGGUCUCAGUCCGGAUUGGAGUCUGCAACUCGACUCCAUGAAGUUGGAAUCGCUAGUAAUCGUGGAUCAGCAUGCCACGGUGAAUACGUUCCCGGGCCUU